rnacentral:lncRNA from 1 species
CAGACAUACUCAUCGCCUGCAGCAGGGAUACUCUGGACAUACUCAUUGCCUGCACCAGCGAUACUCUGGACAUACUAAUCGCCUGCACCAAGGAUACUCGGGACAUACUCAUCAAUGCACCAGCAAUACUCUGGAAAUAAUCAUCACCUGCAGCAACGAUACUCUGGACAUGCUCAUCAAUGCACCAGUAAUAUUCCGGACAUGCUCAUCGCCUGCACCAGGGAUACUCCCAACAUGCUCAUUGCCUGCACCAGGGAUACUCGCAACAUACUCAUCAAUGCACCAAGGAUACUCGGGACAUACUCAUCGCCUGCACCAGGAAUACUUGGGACAUGCUCAUCACUUGCACCAAGGAUACUCCGUAUGUAUGCAUCAACGCAGCAGCGAUACUCCGGACAUACUCCUUGCCUGCACCAGCAAUACUCCAGACAUACUCAUCAACGUACCAGGGAUACUCCUGACAUGCUCAUUGCCUGCACCAGGGAUACUCCGGAUAUAUGCAUCAAGGCACCAGCAAUACUCCGGACAUACUCACUGCCUGCACCAGGGAUACUCUGGACAUACUUGUUGCCUGCACCAAGGAUACUCUGUACAUGCUCAUCAAUGCACCAAGGAUACUCCCGACAUGCUCAUUGACCGUACCCUGGAUACUCUGGACAUACCUGUCGCCUGCAGCAGGGAUACUCCUGGUAUACUAAUCAAUGCACCAACAAUACUCCCAACAUACUCAUCAUCUGCACGAGUGAUACUCUGGACAUGCUCAUCAAUGCACCAGGGAUACUCCAGACAUAUUCAUCACCUGCAGCAGGGAUACUCCAGACAUGCUCAUCGCCUGCACCAGGGAUACUCCAGACAUGCUCAUCAAUGCACUGGGGAUACUCCGGACAUACUCAUCGCCUACAUCAGAGAUACUCUGGACAUACUAGUCAAUGCACCAGCGAUACUCUGGACAUACUCACUGCCUGCACCAAGGAUACUCGCGACAUACCCACUGCCUGCAGCAGGGAUACUCCCGACAUGCUCAUCAAUGCACCAGCGUUACUCCGGCCAGGCUCACUGCCUGCACCCCGGCUGCUCCAGCCACUGACACGCUCCUAAACUCCUCCUUCCGCG